GAGGUCCCGCCUGCCCAGUGAUAGGAUUCAACGGCCGCGGUACUCUAACCGUGCGAAGGUAGCACAAUAACUUGUUCUUUAAAUAAGGACUAGAAUCAAUGGCUUCACGAGGGUUAUACUGUCUCCUUUUUCUAAUCAGUGAAACUGAUCUCCCCGUGAAGAAGCGGGGAUAUUUAUAUAAGACGAGAAGACCCCAUGGAGCUUUAAACUCAAUAGAUACCCCCACCCCACCCUUUCAUGGUAAUUUAGGCACCUAUCUAUUAGUUUUGGGUUGGGGUGACCACGGAGUAUAGUUUAGCCUCCGUAAUGAAAAGAAUAAUAUCCUAAUCUAUGAGGGACACCUCUAAGAAUUAAUAUAUUAACAUACACUGAUCCAAUAAUCUUAUUUGAUCAAUGAACCAAGUUACCCUGGGGAUAACAGCGCGAUCCACUUCAAGAGUUCCUAUCG
rnacentral:rRNA from 1 species